AUGAAUGACAACGAAGGGCUUGGAGGAAUUCUGCGCCUCUGUCCUAUUGGAACGCAAUUGACUCCCAAGGACAGAUCUUUGCAGCCUCGGACCAUUUCUGCUCCUCACCAUCUGGGGGCACUGCCAGGCUCUCCCGAGAGUCUGAAAUGUCUCAAAGUCGGGCUGCUGCGACUCCUCUCGGCGCUGGAGAAGGACGCCGGCGGAGGGGAGGUGCAGUGCGGUCCUCCCGCCGGAAGAGGGCGCCGCGGCGAGGCGGCCCUAGGCGCAGGCGCCGGCGUGCCCCUCUCCCGGCCGCACGCGCUCCUUGACCCCGCGCCGCCGCGCGCCCUGCGGACUCGGCGUAGGGGUUGGCGCCGGUUCGGGUCCGGCCGUCGCGGGCUUACGCCGAGUGCGCCCUGCCCGCCCUCUCCGCGGCGCCCCGGCCCCCGUGCGCCGCCGCGGCCCAUGGGGAGAGUCGGCCGGGCAGGCCGGUGACUCAAGCUCAACGUGACAAUGGGUUGCCAAGCUCCUGAAUAAAACGUUCACUUUGUCUGGCA
rnacentral:lncRNA from 1 species